rnacentral:rRNA from 2 species
UACGUAGGGUCCAAGCGUUGUCCGGAUUUACUGGGCGUAAAGAGCGCGUAGGCGGUCUGUUAAGUGUAGAGUGAAAUCUCCAGGGCUCAACCCGGAAACUGCUCUGCAUACUGGCAGACUGGAGUGAUGCAGAGGUUUGUGGAAUUCCUGGUGUAACGGUGAAAUGUGUUGAUAUCAGGAGGAACACCCAUGGCGAAGGCAGCAAACUGGGCAUUAACUGACGCUGAGGCGCGAAAGCGUGGGUAGCAAACAGG